rnacentral:rRNA from 1 species
GAUCAUGGCUCAGAUUGAACGCUGGCGGAAUGCUUUACACAUGCAAGUCGAACGGUAGAGGGGGCAACCCUCGAGAGUGGCGAACGGGUGAGUAAUAUAUCGGAACGUGCCCAGUCGUGGGGGAUAACGUAGCGAAAGUUACGCUAAUACCGCAUACGAUCUACGGAUGAAAGCGGGGGAUCGCAAGACCUCGCGCGAUUGGAGCGGCCGAUAUCAGAUUAGGUAGUUGGUGGGGUAAAGGCUCACCAAGCCAACGAUCUGUAGCUGGUCUGAGAGGACGACCAGCCACACUGGAACUGAGACACGGUCCAGACUCCUACGGGAGGCAGCAGUGGGGAAUUUUGGACAAUGGACGCAAGUCUGAUCCAGCCAUUCCGCGUGCAGGAUGAAGGCCCUCGGGUUGUAAACUGCUUUUGUACGGAACGAAAAGGUUUCUAUUAAUACUAGGAGCUCAUGACGGUACCGUAAGAAUAAGCACCGGCUAACUACGUG